AUACUUACCUGGCAGGGGAGACACCAUGAUCAAGAAGGUGGUUCACCCUGGGUGAGGCUCACGCAUUACAUUCCGAUUGUGCUGACCUUUGCGGUUUCCCCAAAUGUGGGAAUCUCGGCUGCACAAUUUCUGGUAGCGGGGCCCUGCGUUUGUGCUCUCCACUG